AAGUCGUAACAAGGUUUCCGUAGGUGAACCUGCGGAAGGAUCAUCAAUGAUUGGCCCGAUUAAAUGGGUCUAGAUAUUCGAUGACUUUGACCUAACUUUAAACCGGUGAUGACGACGGUCAUGAAUGGUAGGUUUAUGUAAGUUAAGGUGACCGAGUGUGUGAAAACGUUCGGUCUGUGAUGCAUUGUGAUUAUUAUGGUCAUGAUGAUAAACACAUCACACCGCUGGUGUUAGAGAGAUGAGAAGAAUAAGGGGUUUUUGACGAAGACUCUGACGGUGCUUCUUAAUCUUUCUACACCGACUUGGAAGUUACUUGUGUCAUUAGACGAACAGGAGUUUCACCGGAUCGUGGUAAUACACACCGGAUAAAUUAAGAAAACUUUCGGCAAUGGAUCUCUUGGCUAUCC
rnacentral:misc_RNA from 1 species